rnacentral:lncRNA from 1 species
UUUUUGGUCAAUGAAUACCAGCAACUUGUAAUACUGAGUCAGGGCUGAAAUUGUAUGUUGGAAUACUCUAAUAAAGGUUCCAAUUUACAUUCUUCUGCAGGUUAGGACAAGUGCUUAAUUCGAGGACCUUUAUGUCAGCAAUUUGGAUUGUCCGGGCUCUGGAAGAGAACUUCAGUUUGAGAUCCCCUGAUAUGUAAGCAGACAAGAUUGGAUAGGAACCCAUGUUAUUGCUGACUUUAUCACCUUGCACCCACAAACAAAAUGAGGCACAAAUAAGAAGUAUUUUAUCCUUGGAAUACAGUUUGAGCUAGAAAGUGGACUUCUCUUCAAUCAUUUGCACGUGAGUGAUAUUAUUAAUGUUCUAUCGAUUGGACAAUCUUUGAAGCAUGACAUGUUAUAGCCAUAAUGCAAAGUCGCUUCCUUGUCUUCCUGUGUCCUUCAGAGGUAGUUUUGAUAGGACACUUUACAGGAAGCUUCUUGUGAGUCUUGCUAGGUCUUUACCCUUCCUCGAGAUUUUGACAGCAUGGGGCUUUCUAAUGCCAAUUUGCUGAAAGUUUUGGCAGACUGGGUCACAGAAAGCAUCAUUACAAUCCUCUUGCCUGUGUGGCCUCGUAUGCAAACAAUCACCUACCUUCUAUGCUCUGGAUUUCAGAUACCUUCCCCAGUGCUUUGUAACCGAUGAGCAUGCCCAAGGGCUUUCAUUAAAUUAAACGGUGGAAUGCAUCUUACUAAUUCACUUGAAAUGCUUCCUUCUCCUAAGUCCCUUGAAUCCAUAAUUCUUUCUGG